rnacentral:rRNA from 1 species
GACGAACGCUGGCGGCGUGCCUAAUACAUGCAAGUCGAGCGGAUCUCAAGGGGCUUGCCCCUUGAGGUUAGCGGCGGACGGGUGAGUAACACGUGGGCAACCUGCCUGUAAGACUGGGAUAACACCGGGAAACCGGUGCUAAUACCGGAUAAUUCUUUCCCUCACAUGAGGGAAAGCUGAAAGUCGGUUUUUAGCUGACACUUACAGAUGGGCCUGCGGCGCAUUAGCUAGUUGGUGAGGUAACGGCUCACCAAGGCGACGAUGCGUAGCCGACCGGAGAGGGUGAUCGGCCACACUGGGACUGAGACACGGCCCAGACUCCUACGGGAGGCAGAAGUAGGGAAUAUUCCGCAAUGGACGAAAGUCUGACGGAGCAACGCCGCGUGAGUGAUGAAGGCCUUCGGGUCGUAAAACUCUGUUGUUAGGGAAGAACAAGUAUCGGAGUAACUGCCGGUACCUUGACGGUACCUAACCAGAAAGCCACGGCUAACUACGUGCCAGCCGCCGCCGUAACAC